rnacentral:rRNA from 1 species
AAUCUGGCUCUUUCAGAGUCCGAGUUGUAAUUUGAAGAAGGUAUCUUUGGGUCUGGCUCUUGUCUAUGUUUCUUGGAACCGAACGUCACAGAGGGUGAGAAUCCCGUGCGAUGAGAUGAUCCAGGCCUAUGUAAAGUUCCUUCGAAGAGUCGAGUUGUUUGGGAAUGCAGCUCUAAGUGGGUGGUAAAUUCCAUCUAAAGCUAAAUAUUGGCGAGAGACCGAUAGCGAACAAGUACAGUGAUGGAAAGAUGAAAAGAACUUUGAAAAGAGAGUGAAAAAGUACGUGAAAUUGUUGAAAGGGAAGGGCUUGAGAUCAGACUUGGUAUUUUGUAUGUUACUUCUUCGGGGGUGGCCUCUACAGUUUAUCGGGCCAGCAUCAGUUUGGGCGGUAGGAGAAUUGCGUUGGAAUGUGGCACGGCUUCGGUUGUGUGUUAUAGCCUUCGUCGAUACUGCCAGCCUAGACUGAGGACUGCGGUUUAUACCUAGGAUGUUGGCAUAAUGAUCUUAAGUCGCCCGUCU